AGAACGAACGCUGGCGGCAUGCCUAAUACAUGCAAGUCGAACGAGAUCUUCGGGUCUAGUGGCGCACGGGUGCGUAACGCGUGGGAAUCUACCCUUGGGUUCGGAAUAACAGUUGGAAACGACUGCUAAUACCGGAUGAUGACGAAAGUCCAAAGAUUUAUCGCCCAAGGAUGAGCCCGCGUAGGAUUAGCUAGUUGGUGAGGUAAAGGCUCACCAAGGCUACGAUCCUUAGCUGGUCUGAGAGGAUGAUCAGCCACACUGGGACUGAGACACGGCCCAGACUCCUACGGGAGCAGCAGUAGGAAUAUUGGACAAGUGGGGCAACCUGAU
rnacentral:rRNA from 1 species